rnacentral:rRNA from 1 species
GACGAACGCUGGCGGCGUGCUUAACACAUGCAAGUCGAACGGUGAAGCCUUUCGGGGGUGGAUCAGUGGCGAACGGGUGAGUAACACGUGGGCAACCUGCCCCUGACUUCGGGAGUAAGCCCGGGAAACCGGGUCGUAAUACCGGAUAUGAUCACGUCCCGCAUGGGGUGGUGGUGGAAAGUUUUUCGGUUCAGGGAGUGGCGUCGCGGCCUAUCAGCUUGUUGGUGGGGUGAUGGCCUACCAAGGCGACGACGGGA